CCGGGACCUAGGGUAGCUCCCGAAAAGCCAGCUGCUUCGCUGGCCUGGUCCCGGCUCACAUUCGAAGC
rnacentral:sRNA from 1 species